CGGCUCCCGGCGCCCAUGCUGUGCCCAAGUCUGCCCUGCGCCCCGUCCCCUCCACACCCUGGACGAACCCAGGCGAGGAGCCCCUCUGCCCUGCUCGAUGCCCCUCCCUCUACUUCCCGUGGCCGCGGUCCCCUCGCCCCUCGUCUUCUCCUCUACAUGCGCAACCGACCUCGAGCCCUGCUCGCGGCGGUGCCGCAGCCAUGGCUGAGCGCCCCCGACGAGCCCCCAAGGUGUGGCAAGGAGGCCAUUUGUGGUGCGCAGGCGAGCCCAGCCCUCCCCAGGCGUAGUCUCCAUGGCCGG
rnacentral:misc_RNA from 1 species